AUUGAACGCUGGCGGCAGGCCUAACACAUGCAAGUCGGGCGCGCGGCGGACGGGUGAGUAAUGUAGGGGGCUCUGCCUGAUGGCGGGGGAUAACUACGGGAAACUGUAGCUAAUACCGCAUACCAUCAGAUGAACCCAUAUGGGAUGGGCUAGUAGGUAAGGUAACGGCUUACCUAGGCGACGCUCCCGAGCUGGUCUGAGAGGAUGACCAGCCACACUGGAACUGAGACACGGCCCAGACGCCGACGGGAGGCAGAAGUGGGGAAUAUUGCACAAUGGGCGCAAGCCUGAUGCAGCCAUGCCGCGUGUAUGAAGAAGGCCUUCGGGUUGUAAAGUACUUUCAGUCGGGAGGCGUUACCGGCAGAAGAAGCACCGGCUAACUCCGUGCCAGCAGCCGCGGUAAUAC
rnacentral:rRNA from 1 species